rnacentral:rRNA from 1 species
CCUACGGGGGGCUGCAGUGGGGAAUAUUGGACAAUGGGGGCAACCCUGAUCCAGCCAUGCCGCGUGUGUGAAGGAGGCCCUCGGGUUGUAAAGCACUUUCAGUGAGGAAGAACGCCUGGUGGUUAAUACCCAUCAGGAAAGACAUCACUCACAGAAGAAGCACCGGCUAACUCCGUGCCAGCAGCCGCGGUAAUACGGAGGGUGCGAGCGUUAAUCGGAAUUACUGGGCGUAAAGCGCGCGUAGGUGGCUUGAUAAGCCGGUUGUGAAAGCCCCGGGCUCAACCUGGGAACGGCAUCCGGAACUGUCAAGCUAGAGUGCAGGAGAGGAAGGUAGAAUUCCCGGUGUAGCGGUGAAAUGCGUAGAGAUCGGGAGAAAUACCAGUGGCGAAGGCGGCCUUCUGGACUGACACUGACACUGAGGUGCGAAAGCGUGGGUAGCAAACAGGAUUAGAUACCCCAGUAGUC